GAUGAACGCUGGCGGCGUGCCUAAUACAUGCCAGUCGAGCGAACGGACGAGAAGCUUGCUUCUCUGAUGUUAGCGGCGGACGGGUGAGUAACACGUGGAUAACCUACCUAUAAGACUGGGAUAACUUCGGGAAACCGUAGCUAAUACCGGAUAAUAUUUUGAACCGCAUGGUUCAAAGGUGAAAGACGGUCUUGCUGUCACUUAUAGAUGGAUCCGCGCUGCAUUAGCUAGUUGGUAAGGUAACGGCUUACCAAGGCAACGAUGCAUAGCCGACCUGAGAGGGUGAUCGGCCACACUGGAACUGAGACACGGUCCAGACUCCUACGGGAGGCAGCAGUAGGGAAUCUUACGCAAUGGGCGAAAGCCUGACGGAGCAACGCCGCGUGAGUGAUGAAGGUCUUCGGAUCGUAAAACUCUGUUAUUAGGGGAGAACAUAUGUGUAAGUAACUGUGCACAUCUUGACGGUACCUAAUCAGAAAGCCACGGCUAACUACGUG
rnacentral:rRNA from 1 species